rnacentral:misc_RNA from 1 species
GAAAUUAUAAUCCGGCGAGGGGAAAGGCGGAGAGUUGUAGCUGGCCUCCAGGGGCAUGUGCACGCUGUCUUCCCGACCUUUCGCCGUAUGGGCGCGGGGCGCCCCGCGUCUUCAUAUACCCCUUCGUGUAGAAAGUCUUUGAAUGUUAUACGAUCAUCGAGUCGCGACUUCUAGGAGACGCGAUUCUUUGAGACAAAAGUUAUCACAACUUUCAGCAACGGAUCUCUUGGCUCU